rnacentral:misc_RNA from 1 species
GAUGAAGAACGUAGCGAAAUGCGAUAAGUAGUGUGAAUUGCAGAAUUCAGUGAAUCAUCGAAUCUUUGAACGCACAUUGCGCCCCUUGGUAUUCCGAGGGGCAUGCCUGUUCGAGCGUCAUUAUAACCCUCAAGCUCAGCUUGGUGUUGGGGCCUGCUGCAGUGGCAGCCCUUAAAAUCAGUGGCGGCGCCAUCUGGCUCUAAGCGUAGUAAUUCUUCUCGCUAUGGAGUCCUGGUGGAUGCUUGCCAUCAACCCCCAAUUUUUCUAUGGUUGACCUCGGAUCAGGUAGGGAUACCCGCUGAACUUAAGCAUAUCAAUAAGCGGAGGA